GCGGCUUCUGAGAGGACUUUAUGCUUUUGUCUGACAUUUCUUUGCCCUGAUGAUCCAGAUCAGUCUGCACGGCUUUAUGCAUUUUCACGAGCUGCCCGUCCACUUCAUGAUGACCCUCACAGCUCUUGCCUUUGGAGAACAUCAGCCGCUGCAUGAUCUUAUCACAGGACUCUAUCUGAGCUGGAGCACAAAUCCAAACACACACACACACCGUCUUACACGUGUGUUCCUCUACCCCCGUGGGAUCAUCUCAUUGAUACAAUGCUUAGCCAUCACAACUUCAUGCCUUAUAACCCUUACCUUAACACUAACCUAAUAGUAACCUGAAUCCUAAAACCUUGAAGUCUUCACCCUCAAAAGGCAGUCUCUACCCGUGGGGACCUACAUUUUUGUCCCCACGGUGACACGAGUCCCAAUCGGUUAGUGUGCAUUCAGGUAAAAACAUGAAACAAACAAACAAACAAACAAACACACACACACACUCUCUCUCUAAAACAAAAUCUUUUAGCUAUCCUGUCAAUAGCUGCCUCUAUGAUCUAUUUUCCUGGAUAAUCACUCCCUUUCACACAUGAAUCACAGAGCAGGCCAUUAGCUAGUCAUUAGCCUCUUCAAAGUGUUGACCUAAAGUGAAUGUGUUUCUGCUUCAGUGCUGACUCACAGUCCUGGGCCAGCAGUAUGGCUCUAUUAGUGAUGGCCUCCAGAGCCAGCCAGAUAUCAGAGCGGCCCGGCCCCAGCACCAACAACGUCUGCAGGAUGGACAGCAGCUGGAGAGAGGCUGGAGAGCUACUCACCUGUACACACCAACACACGCACAUGCACAAAGUCAUCUGUCCCGAAGAUGAGGGCGUUGAUGACACUGAGGAGUGUAACCAUGUAAGGGACAUUAUCUGUGGCCUGCAGCUCAUUCAUGAUCCCACUGAAGCGAUACUGCUGCGUCUUCACGCCCUGAAGGGGAAAUUCAGAUGUCAAUAAUCACCUUAGUAUCAUUGAGGAAGACUGUGAUUCUACAGCACUAUAAUGCCUGUUCAUGCAACCCACCACUAGAGGGCAGCAUUAGGGGAUUUAUUAUUCGGAGAUGUGGAAUCAUGUGAGUGAUCCAGGGAAUCCAGUGCCAGGCGAUGGCCAUCUGCAGAGAACAUGCUGAGGGCGGCAAGGAGAUCAAAAACCUGCUUCUUCACCAUGGUGUUGGAAGUGUCCAAGGCUGUGGAGCAAUGUGAUCACACACAUCAAUAAAGGAUGCUUUGUUUCAUCAACUGAACUCAACUUGAACUUUGCCCUCUGAAGAUGUGGCACGUAAACACGUGUAUGUGCGUUUGAAAUCCAAUGUACACAAGACACUGUGAUUCUUCUUUGUACAUACAGCAGUACAUGCCCUGGAAAUUCAGAUCAGCAGAGUGAGUCAGGGAACCAUUUAAUCAUCUGAGUUUUGACCAACUAAACAAUAUUACAAAUGUUACCUUAUAUGUAUAAAAAAACAAGUGGCACCUUAGGUCCUUAACCAUGAAAUGGCUUUCUUUUUUAAUGAACAGUUUAAUUUAAAUAUAUUGUAUUUUGUCUUUUCAUGUGUGAGGCUACUCUGAGACAUAAUCAUAUGAACACUACGUGGAGAAAGUAGAUGUGAUGAUUUAAAAUGAAGGGUAUGGUGGAACCUUGGGAGAGCUUCCGAAUGUGUCCCUCAUUCUCUAUAAUGAAGUGGAUCCCUGCAGAGGAAUUCAUGACCGCGCGGACGCAGCUGACGCAGGUAAGCUGCAGGAGGGCGUCUGCAAUGCGAGAACACCCCCGCCCUGAGAGCCGGUCCAGGGCCUCCAGGAGGAGAUCCAACCCGCUCAGCUCCAGGAACUGGACCAUCCAUGUCUGGUCGCUGCCCUCCAGGCGACGCUUCAGCCCCGAGUAGUUGACCACAGUGGGAACUUGCAGCAGCCUGAUGCACAGCUCUGGGUCAGCACUCUCCAGGUUGGCCUCCGGCGCAGUAUCCGAGUCCUGCGAGGAGCCCAAGCGACCCCUGACUGCUGCCCACUUUUUUUUCCCAUCUGACUUCCCUGACAUGAUGGCUGUGGAGGAAAGAAAGGUGACAGAGGACAGGUAGAGACAGAGCUGCACUUUUAAUUGCUGCAAAAUAUAUCUCCUCAUGCC